UACGGAGGGGCUAGCGUUGUUCGGAAUUACUGGGCGUAAAGCGCGCGUAGGCGGACCUGCAAGUCGGGGUGAAGCCGAGGCUCAACCUCGGACUGCCUCGGAUACUGGGUGCCUCGAGGGGUGGCAGGGGUAUGCGGGAACUAUCGGUGGGAGCGGUGAAAUGCGUGAUUUAGUCGAUAGGAACUCCGGGUGGCGAAAGGGCGGGCAUAACUGGCCCACUUUCUUUGAGCGCCUGAGGGCGCCGGGAAAAGCCCAGGGAGACAAAAGC
rnacentral:rRNA from 1 species